UACAGGGGGUGCAAACGUUGCUCGGAAUUAUUGGGCGUAAAGAGCUCGUAGGCGGUCUGUCGCGUCGGCUGUGAAAUCCCGAGGCUCAACCUCGGGUCUGCAGUCGAUACGGGCAAACUGGAGUGUUGCAGGGGAGACUGGAAUUCCUGGUGUAGCGGUGAAAUGCGCAGAUAUCAGGAGGAACACCGGUGGCGAAGGCGGGUCUCUGGGCAACAACUGACGCUGAGGAGCGAAAGCGUGGGGAGCGAACAGG
rnacentral:rRNA from 1 species